UCGCCAAGCUUUGCCAAAACGCUAGGCAGCAACGAGAAGCGAACGUCACUGGCCGCAUCAGUCGACAUCAAAUGAUGAAACUGUGCUCAUCUCGCAGCAACUGCACUCUGUUGAAUGUUGUGAUCGAUCAACGACUUAGAAUUGACACCUGUCGAUAUCUAAUGGAAAUUCAGUCGCGUCGUCUAGCGGGAGAAUAGAACAAAAUUCUUACACAAAAAAGCAGCAGCAGCAUCGUAGAGCGUAGCGAUAAUAAAUAAGUUAAAUAAGAAAUACUAAAUUUAGUGGGAGAGAAGCUAAAGAAGACUGAAAGAAAAAGUUAUAAAUAAAAAUUAAAAAGUAUCAACAAAAAAGCAGCAAUAUGCUUGUAGUAUUUAUGCAAGUCUAAGAGCGAGGAAAGUGAAAAACAUUGUUCGUACGUUUUUUAUUGGCAAAAGUAAAAGCAAAUAAAGAAAAUAAUAAAAUACAUAAUAUAUUUUCGUAUACUCGUAUAAUAUAAUAUUGAUUGGCAAGCGAGUAUUAACGGACUUGUUAGACGGCCAGCAGCAUUUGCGUUUCUCACUGUGAAUUAUUAUUGUACUGUGAAGAAUUGAAAAAAAUUCCAAAAAUUAUUUUUAAAAAAUCAAGAAAAAACCCAAAAAAAUUUUAAAACUCAAAAAAAAAAAUUAAAAUAAGAAAUUUUAAAAACUCAAAAAAAAAUUUUUUUUAAUUCAAAAAUUAAAAAAAAAUAAAUAGUAAAGUGUACCAAAACAACAAAGAAAAAGCAACAAAAAUUUUAAGUAAAAUAUAUAUUUGAAAGAAUUUUGAAACACUCGCUGCCUAGCACGCGCAAAACCUGGUUAGACCUGUUCCUACAUCUAUGGAGUUUCAUCUAGACAGUGCAGAAUACUGCCAAGCACAGCACAAAUAAAAAGGAAAAGAGUUUGCAAAACAGCGAAAGAAACGUAAAAAGGACGAGAGUUGGAACUUGUUGGAAGCGCGUCCAGUUGGGAGACAGUUAGACAGGAGAUAGCAGUGAUAGCGCGCGGUACGAGAAAGCAAGCGAGAUUUAGCGUAGAAACAAUUUUCGAAUUUUCUUUAAAACAACCAACUAAUUGGAUUUUCAAACAAGUGUUUGCUGAGGCAGUAAGAAAGAGAGAAAGCUACUACAAAAAGCGCGCAUAUCAGAAGAAUUGGUAUAUACAAUUUCGGUUUUAGCUAAAACAAACAAACAAAACAAGCAAAAGAAAGCAAAAAGCAACGAAAAGAGCAGAUUAAUUGACAGAAUUAUUGCGAAAUUAAAUUGUAUAAUUAAGAGUAAUUGUUGUACAAUUAAAGAGUAAUUGCUAUACAAUUGAAGAGUAAUUAAACUACAACUACUAAAAAGUCAACAGGGAUUUCGUAACGGCUGAAAAUCAGGCAGGUUUUGUGCAAACAAACAACAACAAAAAAGCAAGCAAAAGCUGCAAAGAAAAACUAUUUUUGAAAAACUUUUUUCUAAUUACUUUUUUGUGAUAAUUUUUAAGCUAAAAAUAUAUAAAUACCAACAACAACUCUUGAACUCCCAAAAACAAAAACAAAGAACCUACUAAAAUAUUGUACUUAAUUUUAAAUUUUUGCGCUAAUUACAAAACAAUUUCCGUAUAAAAGCUUCAAUUUGCACAUUAAAUACUUAAAUUAUAUUUAUACAAAAUAUUUACAAAAAAAAAAAACAACAAAAUUAAUUAGCAUAAACUGCUGCAAGUGUUAUUUAUACACACAACUUCCGAUUUAUUGAAAGCAAACAAGAAGAAAGCAAAGCAAAAACAAGAAAAGAGAAUUAAAUAAAAUUUGCAGUCCAGUUUUGUGACAGAGGUUUUCAUUAUAUAUACAGACUUUGGAGCGAUCACUGUCAAAUUUGUAACAAAAACAGUCGACGCGCAGCCGCCAAAGCGUAAAAUUUUACAAAACAGCAGAACCACAGAACCUAACCUACAAAGUCAAGUAAAAAACACAUAGACAAAAACAACAAAACACCUCAGCGCUUGAAAGCAAAAGACAGCCGCAGAGCAUAAAUAGUAAAAGUGUGGAGCGUGAGCGCUAAAACAACAACGUACUUCUACAACAAAAAAUAUUAUCUUUAAUACCAAAAAAAAAAAAUAAA